rnacentral:rRNA from 1 species
UUGAAAGGGAAACGAUUGAAGUCAGUCGUACCAGCGGGAAAUCAACCUUUCGAGUGGGGGUUUUGGAGUUUUGAAGAGUUUCAAAACCUUUGAGAUUUCAAAAUUUUCGCUCUUUUGGUGUACUUUCUCGUGGGUAGGUUAACAUCGAUUUUGAUCAUCAUAAAAAGACUGGAGGAAUGUAGCUUCGAUCUUGUAUUGAAGUGUUAUAGCCUUUGGUAAAUGUGAUGAUUAGGAUCGAGGAUUGCAACGAAUACCCUUCUGGGCUAUCCGCCUGAUCUCUGAUACGUGGCCUUGGCAUCGAAAGCUUGCUUAUGGUAUCAAGGUAUUGCGGUCAAAAGGUUAGAACGGAUUACAUUCGUUAAGGAUGUUGACGUA